GAAAAAGAUACAGAAAAGGUUUUUGAUUGAUUUCGGACUGAACCUUGUUAAAAGCUGCCUACGUACCCCUUUCGAGAAUCAAGCCAAAUGUAGUUCAAUUGAUAGAGCUGGACAAGAGAUUGAACUGCCUGGGCGAGUUCGUCUAGUAAUUGAGUGCCAGUCAUAGAAACCGAACUUGUCGAAAAUAAAGCCUAAAGUUUCUAAGUGCAGAGAAUUUUGAGUCUAAAAAGUCGCCACCCCCCCUCCAUGCCUCUCGCCUAAGACUCCUUAUAUACUCGCUCCUAGGUCGGUUUACGCUCUUCCUCUUCUGCCCUUAAGCCGUCAUAGCAUAAAAAUAGAGAUAUUCUAUUUUUUCCGAUCUUCGUAAUUAUCUUCAAAAUUUCGUACUUAUCGGCGGAAACUUGACAUUUAUCUUUCCUUGCGAAGCAAGCGUAAACCGUCAUGCGGCUUACGGGCUGUUGGUUAAGCAAUCGUAAGUUGGGCCUCGAGUCAUGUUCUAGGUCCCUUUGGGCCGUCUUCUGACUCAAAGCGUUUAUUACGGCUUCUUUCGAUAAAGAACAAACUUUCCGCGGUUUUUACCACAAAGUUUGAUCGACGAUUUAGAAUGGCGGAAAACAUGAAAUGGGUUCGCUAUGGUCUUUGGGAGAUAGCAUCCAAGGAUAGACGAGAAUGCAUGGACUAGCGUCGCAUCGACGUUUCGGAAGAGCUCGGUCGCUACGUAGCGACCGGAGGGACAUAUGCUCGGUCGCUACGUAGCGACUGAGCUUGGCUCGAUCUUGAUCGCUAGCUUGGCUCGAGCUCGGUCGCUACGUAGCGACCGAGUGGGACGGACACUCGGUCGCUACGUAGCGGCCGGAUAGUGUGCAUGUGCAGUAGUCGCGUAGUGACUGAGCUUGGUCUGUCCGUGUUCUGAUCGUCAUACUCGAACCUAUCCGUAGCUGGUUUGGGUACGUUUCCGACAGCUUAUGUUCGAUCCAAAUAGAAUUCGAACAAAGCUUUAUCUCCAGAACAUACGUUGUGACGCUCUCUUGACCGAGCACGAUUUGUUGCGGAAAGACAUACUUGUAUUUGCGGAGGUUUGGACGUUAACUUUGUCGUAACCGUUUUCGACCCCAACAAGGCUCUUCGUAAAGAUUUCUUUACGAAGAUUACUUUUCUUAAAAACGUUCAUGCCGAUUUUUACGAACUUUCAGACAUUGAUUCCAUCGUGACCGAUUUUAACCCCAACAGAUAGUUCGCAGCCACCGACGUCGAUUUGAAUUACGAGAGCGUCGUCGUGUGGUUUAUGCGGUUUCGUUUUCGUUGAAGGUGAUUUCGUGGUCAGGACCUGUUAAGGGCUCUCUAAUUCCUACGUUGUUCUCAGCUCUCCUCUGGUAUGCUUUGAUUGAGUCGACUGAGUUGCAGAACUUCGAGCCUCCAUAUAUGAAAUCGAUCAUUUUCCUACCCUCGUUGUAGGCCGGGAAGUUCCAUCUCUUAAUCGGUGCUGGUUGGUAAUGUCUCUGCCCUCCAGACAGAUUGCAAUUGAUGGUCUGCAUUCUGUCUUUCUUCUGAAUCGGUUUCUCCAAGAGCUCGCAAAUUUUGUUCAUUUCAUUCUUUCGCUUGAAGUUGGAAAAUCUCAUGCUAGGAGGUCUUGUGUUUUGGUUGUACUUCAUUACCUGGGGAGGAGGGGUGUCCUCGUUGGUUUUUUCUAGUGUGUGGAUUGCUACCGCGAUCUUGAAACGGAUUUUUCCUUCGGUUUGGCUCUUGAUUUCGUCGGUUGCUUUGUUGUUCUGCCCCCAUGAAAUCAUGUCAACUCUUUUCUUCGGAGCCGGAGGUGGAGAGCUUGGUGAUUCCUGCUCGAUCUCCCUACCUCUUUUGUUCGUUGGGACCUUGGUCUUUCGGUUAGAUUUCGGAGUUACUGGUUCCUCUUUUUCUCCUGCUUCUUCGUUAGUUUUCUUAUUUUCGUUUUGAUUACAAAGUGCAGCUCGGCAUUCCUCCGUAUGUCAGGCUGCAUGUACAGCUUCUAUGCACGGUGACACCUCGAGCUUCUGGAGACACUCAGCUUGUUAGAUUGUUGACACCACGUUCUGAACCCAUGCAAUGAGCCACCUCGAGCUUCUCGAUCCAUUCGUCUGAUUUCGGUUCUUUCGGUAAAUUUCUGAUCCGCGAUCCAUUCCAAAUAUUUUUCUGCUCCUGCUCUGAUGAGCUGAAUAUUUUUAAUAAACUAUAAUCUGAACUCUGACCUUGGCGGUAAAUAUUUCUCGAUCCUUCGGCUUCAUCGAAAACUUCCAUAAUACAGAAAUUAGGGUUUUCGUCCAAUUUCGGCUUUUAAUGUCGUGCUUCGAUCAUGUCGUGCUUGCUUUCCAUCCUGCUUAAUUCCCGUCAUGCUUCCAAUGUCUUUGAAAUAAUAUUCCGCUGAUACAAAGUUUCGCGGAAAACUUCGUGCUGAAGAAAUGUCGUUCUUCCAAAACAUCGAGCUUCUAAACCGUCAUACUUCCAAAAAUGUGAUGCUUCCAAAAUGUCAGUCUAAUCAAUCUAAGACAUCUUCUAACUUUGGUCGAGUAACUUAUUCGACUCAUAGUUCACUCACGAUCACUUCUUCGUCCACCUUGUACUUCAAAACUUCUCUAUCGAUCCUUAUCGUCCGCGACUCGACCAUUCCCUUUUUAAUGGGUUUCUACAGUAUUCAUAUCCACAACAUAAUCAAAAUCUUCUUUCCUGUCCACAAACAAACAUUGUUGUUGGGGUUGUGUCAUUAAGCCCAGCUAUUGUGGAGUUUUCUCUAAUGAAAUUUCUUGAAUUUUUACCCUACACGCAUCUCCGUCCACGCAUCACCCGUCCACACAUCAUCCGUCCACGCAUCAAAUGUCUAUUAAAGUCAAAGUUAUCCACAGUUUAUUGCUGGCCCACAAUAAAAUGUUUCAAAUAUAAAAAGUGACUCUGAAUGUAAAGAUAAGUCAAAAAGUAGCCUAGAGAUUAAUAACCUCAAAUAUAAUAGUACACCAAAUGGUAAAUGGUCAUCAUCGUUUCAAUUCUCCAUUAUACCGACAACCAAUAUUCUUAACCCCUCAAAAACUAUUGUAACUUUAUCCACAUCAUACAAACUCAACCACACUCAUAGAAUUGCUAUAAACCACUUUCCAUUAACGGAUCAAUUUUCAUCUACUUUUGUCGAAGAAUUGUAUCAAAUGUGACUAGAAGCGGUGGUGAUAUAUGAGAAAGAGUAUUUUUCUACUUUAUCAAUAAUUUGUUCUUUAACAAAUGUUGGUGGCCUAAUGAUAAUGCAAAAUAUUGAUGUUCUUGUGUUAUGGAUUUAAAUACCAUUUCUUAGAAGUGUUACAUUAAAUUUAAAUUUUAGUUAAACCUAUUUUAUUACUAGGGGGCUGAAUAUUGUUUUAUUGUUCUUAAAACAAUGUGAUUAUGUGGUCAGUAUUUAUUUGUGAAGAACAUUAUUUGAUGUUUUAUUAUGUUAUGUAGUAGUAGGUAAUAAUUUAAUAUAUUAUGUGUUUGUCUUUUUAAUAAUAUAUUGUUGUAUGUAUAAUACUACUUGUUAGUGGUGAAGUGAGUUUUUGAUGAAAACAUAUUGAAUUUCAAUAACUUUUUCUUUAGACAUUUGGUUCUAAGAUUAACGACGUCAAAAUUGUAUUUUAAUUUUUCACAUUUUUGAACAUUACUCUUUUUAAGUAUUUUUUUGCACUCUCCCCCAUCUUUUGACCUUGAGCCAUCACCAUCUAUGUAUUACGAUUACAUCUCCGGUGUGCAAUGCUUCUCACCAACACUGGGAAUAAACUCACCUCUAUGCUCUUGUUUUUCCUCACUUUCUUUUUCUGUGAAAUUAUCUGGUAAUUGUUAUAGAUCAGGCAUAUUAGUUCCAUGUUGUGGGGUUGUUUCUUACGGCGUUGUAUGUUAUUUCGGUCAAUGUUGGUCCUCUUUUUCCUUAGGUUUUGGCUAAGGUUAGAAACUAGAUCUCGUUGAGUUGGGUCAGAGUUUAGUUGUCAUUGAUGUUAUUUUCCUCGUCGUUGGUUUGCCUUCAAUAGUCUCUACUCGUCUUGGUUUCAAGAUCGGGUUUUUGGUGAUCUGACUUCUAUGCUCUUUUUCAGCUCGAAGAUGGCUCCACGGUUUGUUGAUUUCAUUUUCUCUCUUUUUAUAUCUUUGUUUUCUCAUCUCGUUGCACUUUUCAUCACUGAUCACGUCUCUUAUGGCUCUCCCUUUCACCAUAUUUGCUACUCCAGGUUUGGAUAGUGUUUUUCUCUGUGUAUGCUUUGUACGCUUGGAAGGUUGUUUAUGGUCUCAAGCUUAAGCUUUGGUUUCUCGGUGGUUGGCUUCCAUUCUUCCCCACUCAGGUUGUUUAUCUUCUUCUCAUGCAUCCUUUGGUGUAGGUGUGUGGAGUUAGUCUUUUGGAGCUUUGGUUUCUUCUAUUCAAAGUUUUGUGGUUCUUCGCUGGCAUCAGCGCCUUGUAUGUGUUUGUUUAGUUUGUGAGGUGCUUCUUAUCUCUUAGCUGAUGGUUGUGUUGCCAGUGCUUUAGACAUGCGUCUUUUUGUUUCGUGGUGACUUUGUUCUUCCGAUGAUUCUUGUUUCUCUGACCCGCUUUUUUGAUUUUUUGUGCUGAUGCUUGAUCUUGAUCAUUUGUGUUCCGAAGAUUGCUUUAUCUCAUAUUUUAUCUUUUUACCUUUUUCUGAAAUAUGCUUGUUCUAGAGAAAACAUUUGAGGGUAAGAUGAAAUAGGCUAGUCUUCUUUGUUGAUCUUUUUUCAUCUCCAAACAUUUAUUGAGUUGGUGUUACUAUGUAUUUUACUUUUUUCUCUCUGACUGUGGAAGUUUUAUAUUUAAAUUAUGUAUUGCACUCUAAUUUUUUCUUAUUAGUUUAGUUAUUUUAUAUUUUUAAUAGUUAAAUAAAUAUAUAAUUUGUAAAUUAAAUAAUAGAAAAUGGUAAAAAAUAAUAAAAUAACAAAAAUUUAUGUUAUGUUUAGUUGUGAAUAAAUUAGAUAUGUAAAAUAUAUUUCUAUUAUUUUAUUUAUUUCUUUAUUCAUCUUGAAUUUUAGUGACCAAUAAAAUAGAUUAUCAAGCUUCAAACGAUAAUAGUUAGUGCGAAAAUGACUAGAUAGUUCACGAUUAGAAAGUAUUUGGCCAAAUUACAAUAAUCUAAAAGAAAGAAUGACCUAAAAUAUAAAAAAAAUACAUGGAUAACACGUGUCGCAAAAACCUCUUGACACUUGUCAGAAGAAAGGAAAAAGCCAACUUUAUAUAUAGCUUGAGAGUUAAUUUUUAAGUUAGAGGAUAUUAUAAACCUGGAUUUGUAAAUCUCACCAUCUUAAAAAUCAAAUCAGAUAUUAAAUGAUUUUGUUAGGAACCAGAAAUUUCAACCCAAACUAACAAAGUGGAAUCUACAUAGAAGAAAUAGCAUCCAAUCUUUAUAUUUUCAAGCCAACUAAUCAACUUUACAAUUGAUGAAUUAUGGAAUAGGAUAUAUAAGGAUAAGGAAUAAGAUAUAUAAGCAUAAGUUUUGAGUUUGGUUAAAUGUGUUUGGAAAUUUAUAUGGAGAGGCGGACAUUUUAGUUUAAAUUAUGUUUAAUGUUUGUGUUCUUCAAUGUUAUGGGUAAUUAGAUUUAAUGUCUUUUUGAUAUAAUCCAUUAAAUUCUAUUUAAAACGUGAAAAUAUUUUGUUAACGAAUUAAUUUUGAUUGUUUCAUCUCUUAUAUAUUACUUGAGAAGGAUAUUAACAUAUGAGCCAUUCUUAAUGUACUAGAGAUUUUUUCCGCGGUUCGCGCGGAUUGUGUCUUAUAAAUUUAUUUUAUUUAUAAUAUUAUUUGUCGGUUUUUUCUUUUACAUUAACUUCUUGUUUUUCCAAUGUUAGUUUUUCUUAAUUUAAAUUUAUAUGUUUAUAAUUUUUCAUUUUUCUUGUUGUAGAUGGAAAAUUAUAUUUUUUAUUGAUGGUUUUUUCUAUGUGACAAACUUUUUGAAAUUUUAAAAUAAUGUUAUAUAUAGUACGAUUAACACAUUAAAUAAGAGAAACAUAUUCAGGCACAUUUUACACAGGUUUUAUAUGCAUAAUUUUAAACAUUAUAUCUAUAUAUAUAUAAAAAAAUGUAUGCUUCACUCCUAUGCAUCCACGUCAGAUCCACGUCAGAAAGUCGCUUUAUGUGGUGUCGACACCUGUCCCUGUUAGCAAAACUUACCGUAUCAUUUAAUCGUUGGUUGCUUUCUACUUAUUUUCCAUUGGACCUUAAUUUGCGUUGUUUUCUACUUAUUAUUCACAAUUGGGCCUUUAUGUUUUAUUUUAGGUUUCUAAAUAUAUAAUUUGCAUUUUGAGUGUUGGGCUGGUAACAUGAAAUUAAAGUUACUCACGAUUGUCGAGCUAUUUCUUCAACCAUGGUGAUCUUCAGAUUUCUAGGGUUCCUCUCAUCGUCUUUUUCUUUCUGUAAUUAGGUGGACUGACAAUGGAAUUUCUAGACGUCUUGAGGAAUCUCUUUAGGACCGUUACAGGAUUCAUUGAUUCAACGCCAUUGAAGACCUUCUUUAUUCCUUAGCCCCACUCCAAUCAUAAUUACUCAUUAAAUGCAUUUUACCUCUCUUCGAGGCGGUGGCGAUCCAGUUAUAAAAAGUAGAAUGGCAAACUCAUCGAUUCUCCUCGCUGAGGCUGGCUGGCCGAUGCUCUUUAAAGCAUUUGCCUGCUGAGAUCGAGAUCUAUUACUACUUCGGCUUUCUUUUCCGGACUGAUUAGAAAAAGUAAGAGGUUACUUCUUUAUUUCAGUGGGGUUUCGUUGAGAUAAUUUGUUAUUAAUCUUGAUGUCUUCAUAUUUCCAAAGUGUUUUGCUUUUUCUCCUUUAGGCCAAAUCUUGCUUUUCAGCUAGCAAUUGGUUACCUCAACAGCUUAAACAAGAGAACCCUUUUUAUAUAUAUAGAUUCUUUGAGCUAUGAGAAGCAUGGUGAUCUUGCUGAGAUUAUUGGGUGAGUAAUUCAUUGAUUAUUGAUUUUCAGUCUAUUAUAUCGACUCAACAGUUAAUUAACUGAUCGAUUUUACUUCUAUUUGCAGUACUCAGUCCGUCCUUGGGCCAUUCUGCGACACUGCGUCAUGGUGCGAUGGGCAGAUACGUUUUGUGAUAAUUGUUAUAAACACUAGAAACUCUUGAUUCAGCUUUUGUUUUGGUUAUUCGAGGUGUCAUUUUGUGGGUGCAGGAAAAACUUCUGAAUCUCUUGCUUCGUAACUACCUGCACUACAUCCUUUAUGACCAAGUAGAGAAGUUGAGAUCAAAGCACCAAGAUUUGAGGCACAUUCUAACCAACAUGUUUAUCUUUUAGUAGUUAUUCUUUCAUACCAAUUCGUUAGUGUAGCUUUCUAGAUUAUAGAUAUAUCGUUUAUAUGAUCUCUUACUUAUGCUAACCUUUCCACAGUCAAUUUUUUCUUCAAAUACGGUGUUUAUAUGUAAGACCAUUGGGUAUGAUUUUUUUCUCUUAUCAGUACUAGCUGUUUUUGUUUCAUGGGACAUCUUCAACUAUUGUAUCUAAUAUGAUAUUCACAUACGCACUCCGGUCAUGCUGGUCGUACCAUAUAUAUGUGUAUAUUUAUAUCUAAAAUGCAAAAAAGGUCGAUUGAAUACUGAUAAAACAGGUCUGAUGUGAGAAAAAGACAUGUAUAUGGCAGAUGAAGGGAACCUAAAAGUGAGAAGAGACAAGAGAUACACGAACGUGUUGAAUUUAUAGCUGCUGUCUUUUCAGUUUUCACCAGAAGAAUAGUGUAAGCAUCAAUGAGGAAUCUUAUUCUCCAGCAAAGAAGCUUAAAAAAGGUCCAGACUGCACGAGAUCGUAUUUUAAAUUUACAGCCAUUGCCUGAUUUAUAUGUUCUAGAUGUAAAUUUUUCUGUGGUCGUUUAUUUUAAAAGUUUGUUACUUAGUUUGGUUUUUGUCUUAUUUUUCCAUUUGUAAAUGUUUUCCCAUAAAUUGGUGAGGCGGACAAUAGCACUUUGUUCUUUUGGUUAAUUUUCAGUAAAUAUACUCUUUUUCAUGAUUUCUAUUUAAAUAUUUUGGAUGGGCAAACAUAAACUUAUUUGUCUUUUAGUUUCGAUCAAGAGAAGGGUAGUACAUUCGAUAUAGUAUUUCUGAAUAUUUGAUUUUAGUGAGUUUGUAGAUGAUUUUGAAUGAAUUAGAAAAGUAGUGAUUUAGUUAAAAUACUAAACAAAAUCAUCUGAUUUAAAAUUGUUUUUUUAAUAAAAAAGUUGUACCAAAAUCUCAAAAAAUCCAUUAGUUAAACUAUUUUUAAUAAUAUAAAUUUUAAAAUAAAAUAUAAAAUUCUAAAUUUAAUAACACAAUCUAUACUAUACUAAAAGGAGAAUAACUUGAAAGGAGAGGCUGUCCACAUCAGCAAAGAAAAUCAGCCAACCAUAUGUUUUCUAAUUGCCAUGUCAUAUUCCUUUGCAAAAAAAAAAAAAACUUUGAUUAUUGAUUUAUUCAACCAUAGCGGACGUAUAAAAUAACAAAUCAAGAUGACUAUGAAAAAUUAACUGCCAAAACAAAUACUAGACAACCCUACAUGAUAACUAAAUGGACAUUAACAAUCAAUCAACAUCAUUAAAAAAUAUCGAAUCUAGAGAUAUCUUUCUCUCCUUAACUAUGUUUGUUGCACUAUAUAUUCUUCUUUUUUAGCCAAAUAUAAUACAGUUUAAUAUAUAUAUAUAUAUAAUACACUUUAAUAUAUAUUAUACUCUCAAAUCUCAAUAUUGAUAAAGUAAUUAACAUUUACAUGCAAGAACACUUACGAAAAAAUAACUUAUUAAGUUAAUGUUAUAGAAAAGAGGAACAAAUAAUAAAAAAAACAUACAUAACACAUUUGUAACAAAUUAAAAUAUAUAAGUCAGCAGUUGGGUUUACCGCAAUAAAUUCUCUACGAUUUAAGCCAAUUUUAGCAUUCUCUUAGAGUGUACUUCAUAUGAUAUUUUAAGAUAAACAGCAUAAAACGUUUAACUAACUAAAUGAAUACAUUGUGUUUAAUUUGUUAAAAAAAAUCAUAUUUAUAAAUUAAAAUUAAAAUUCAGUAAAAAUAAAAUUAAAAAUUAUCUUAAGAGUUACUUUGAUGUCUACUCUAAAUGUUUUGUAAAAUUGAUAUCAAAAUAAAUUAAAAUAAAGUUAUGUCAAAACGUUUGUCAGAACAUACAAGAUUUGUAUAUACUAAAUAAAGUAAAUAAUUAAUGAAACUUUGUGGCUUUUGAUUAGCUCAUUACAAAUACUUUUCUGAGAAGUUUUUUAGGAUGACCUAGAAUUUGUUUGUUACAAAUAUAGCAUUCAAGGGUCAAAAUGACAAAAAGAGAUUACAUUAAAAGAUAAAUAGACAUUUAUACUUCUAUGGUUAACUAAUAUAGAAUUAUGGUUUAAAUUAGAGGGGUAUGUACAUGAUUUUUCUUUAAAACAAACUACACAAUUUCAACAUAAAUUUUUUUAGUUUCAGUAAUAAUUUGGGAUUUCAAGUUAAAAUAUUGAAAAAUCUGAAAAAAUAAAAAAAUUCGAAUUCAAAACUGUAUUAUUCAAAAAUAAAAAUUAUUAUUGUAUUUUUAUUUAAAUAAUUAUUAUAUUUAAAUCUAUAAAAUAAAGGUAGAAUGGUCUUUUACUUCUUUAAUGAAACAUGUUAUAGUCAUGUUCCUCUUUGUGAGUUAUUAAAUCUUAAAACAGUAAUUUGAGAAAUUUUCUGUAAUUUUUUUAGUUGUUAUUUCCAGUCUAUCAUAUAUAUAUAUAUAUAUAUAUAUGUAUAUAUAUAUACCAUUAGAUUAAUUUUCCAUCAUUUAUUUAUAAUGUUAUACCAAAUAAUUUUGUGUAAAGUUCAAUUUAGUCACCAAUCAAUGCAUUAUGAAAUAAUUUUCUGUAAAGAUCAAUUUAUGUUAGAACAUCACCAAUCGAUGCAAUAUGAGAAAGUUUUUCAAAUCUCGAAAAUUUAUAUUCUGAUUUCCGUUAUUUUAACUCCAUUUUAAACUGUUUAAUAAUUAAUAAUUAAUUUAAGACUGUAAAAUAGUAAUGGAAGUAUGUUUCUACUCUUAAAAACAAACAAUAUUGCAAUGAUAUAUAUAUAUAUAUAUAUAUUAUUUUUUACACAACAACAAUGACUAAUAACAUCUGCAUAUUUGAAAUACGCAUAAUCUAUCCAAAGUACGUUUACGUAGUAUCUAAACAUGGAAUCAUUCUCAUUGAAAUCUUCAGAUUUCACAUUUUCUUAAUAAAUUAUCAUUUAAGAAAUAGUAAAUACCAAACAAAUUUUAAUAUUGAAAAACUAUAGUUUCAAAUUAAAGAUUAUUGAAUAAUUUUUAUUGGUUAUCAAACUUUACAGAUUUAAGUAUUCAAAAUGAUUACACAUUUAUGAAUAUAUAUACAUAUAUAUAUAUAUAUAUAUAUGAAAUGAAGAUCAUUUACAUAUUCUUCAAAUAAUAGUUUAAAAAUUAAAUCAGAUUACUUAUAAAGAAAUAUAUGAAACAUAAAUGAUAGAAAAUAUUAAAACAUUAUUAAAUAUAGAGUAUUUGAACUUUUAAUAAAAUUUAACAUGAUUACUAAAAGAUUAAUAGAAUUUUUAACUAUGUUUAAAUCUAAAAUAUAUAUUAAAAUAUAAAUUAACAAUAUUUUGAAGAAAAAACUUAUAUUUUUCAAAAUAAUCCUUCUAAUUUGUUAAAUAUUA